rnacentral:rRNA from 1 species
GAUGAACGCUGACAGAAUGCUUAACACAUGCAAGUCGAUGGGGAAGUGGUGCUUGCACCAUGGCCACCAUGGCGGACGGGUGAGUAACGCGUAAGGGACUUACCUGCAGGACUGGGAUAACAGGGGGAAACUCCUGACAAGACCGGAUAAUGUCAUGGAGCUGCAUGGCUUUAUGAUGAAAGGAGACGCCUGCGGAGAGCCUUGCGUCCUAUUAGCUAGUUGGUGAGGUAAUGGCUCACCAAGGCGAAGAUAGGUAGCCGGCCUGAGAGGGUGGACGGCCACAAGGGGACUGAGAUACGGCCCUUACGCCUACGGGAGGCAGCAGUGGGGAAUAUUGGACAAUGGGGGCAACCCUGAUCCAGCAAUUCUGUGUGCACGAAGAAGGUUUUCGGAUUGUAAAGUGCUUUCAGCAGGGAAGAAGUAAGUGACGGUACCUGCAGAAGAAGCGACGGCUAAAUACGUG